rnacentral:rRNA from 1 species
UUCUCAGUCCAGAUUGCAGGCUGCAACCCGCCUGCAUGAAGUCGGAAUUGCUAGUAAUCGCGGAUCAGCAUGCCGCGGUGAAUACGUUCCCGGGCCUUGUACACACCGCCCGUCACACCAUGGGAGCCGGUAAUACCCGAAGUCAGUAGUCCAACCUCGUGAGGACGCUGCCGAAGGUAGGAUUGGCGACUGGGGUGAAGUCGUAACAAGGUAAC